CCUCUUUUUUCAUGGUUCUGGUUUUCCGAUGCUCGCUUUCUUUGAUACUUUUCUCGAAUCGUGUUGAUUUGUUUGAAUAUAUAGUUCUUCGUGAUAUCUGUGUUGGUGAUCUGGUCCGAGAUUUGAGUUGAUAUUGCUUAGAUCGAUGGUUUUCUAUUUCUUCUUUAUGGUAACAAACCCAAGAGGUUGGUGAAUUGAUUUCUGAUGUUUUCGUGAGCUUACAUAGCAUAGCGGAUGGGAUGAGCCUUUGUGGUUUCAUGAUUUAUCAACAAACUUAGGCUGCGUUUUGUAUGGUUCUACUUCUUUUUUUUAAUUUAAAGAAAGUAGAAACAGAUUUUUUUCCCCCUGAUUUCUGACAAUAGAAAAUAUCCCCUCCCCCUUUUUUUAAUAAGACAAAUGAUAGACCAUGAUGAAAGUUGGAAGCAUGGAACCGAACAAGCAUCAAGAGGGCUUUUCUGUUGGAUGAUGAAGGAGGAUGGAUGCUGGGAACGGAUGAAAGGACAUCGAGAACAAAAGAACGGAUGGAUGAGAGCAGAAGAUGGACAUGGGCAACGAACGGAUGAAUUGAAGAGGUGGCUGGAUUGAGAAGGACGGUGGCGGGGCAGCAGAGGAAGUCACCAGAGUGGUGGAUGGCAGCGGGGAGGAGGAGGAGGGCAGUGAAGGCCUCGAAGAGGCGGAAGGGCAGAGCCAAGAUUGGAAGGUUGGGCGAAGGGGUUGAGAACAGGAUGAAACCUACUUUAAAAAAAGUGGAAGUGAAAAUUUUUUUGCUUCCACUUUUUAUAGAAAUAAUGAAAGUUCU